ensembl:snoRNA SNORA70 Small nucleolar RNA SNORA70
AUUCAGCCAAUUAAGCUGACCAGGUUCCUCUCCUAUGGGGGCCUGGUGCACAAUGUCUGCAAACAGCAGGCUCCCAGGGGGUAUAUGUAGCCUGUUCCUUGUACAGAUUGCCCUGCGGGACCUGGGAGUUUCCU